GAUUCUUAUUCCUGAACUGAACACAGCCUAAUACAGCAUGUGGUUGGGAACACAGCAGGCUAAGGGUUGUUCUAAGCUUUAUGCCUAUCAAACAACCUUUAGGCACAAGCAUGGAUUAUUUAUAUUGGUCUACCUUGUUUAUGGUAGGCAUCAUGAUUCCAUGGAGGAGCUGUCAUAAGCCAUUCCUAGCAUAAACCUAUAAUUUUAUUUAUUUUUUAUGGACAAAAACAUCCUUAUCCAAACAAUAUUCCAAAAGUUGUUGCCAAACAAAGAUUAAAAUAACUCAUUGUGUAACUAUUCUCAUAGGAAUAACUUUUGCUGCUUCCAUUUUCUAAUUCUUUGACCAAUCAGGGCCCGGGUCUCUUGCAACUAUUAGCCUUAAAGAUCCUUUAGUUACAGACCUCAACUCAUUUCACAAAAUAGAGGCAAAGAUACAAAGCAACCCAAUACUGAACCACCAUGUUUCCAGUGCCACCACAAUGAUUACUGACUGGAAAGGCAACUCCAAAGAUGGAAUUCACUCUCUAUAGAAGGUUCACAUAGCUAUCAACAUCAAGAUUUUCAAAAAGACCACACUUUAUAAAUGUUUGAGGUACUACAUAAUGCCUAAGCAACAUGUGGCUUCUGAGGCAGUACUCGAGUCUGCUCAUAUUUAG
rnacentral:lncRNA from 1 species